GUGCUUGCUUCUGCAGAAUAUAUACUAAAAUUAGAACCAUACAGAGAACAUUAGCAUGCUCCCUGUGCAAGGAUGACAAGCAAAAAAAAUGAGAAUAAAUAUUA